UCCAGUGGCGAAAAACUCAAUAUUAUUUUUAAGAAAUAAUAAAAAUAAUUAUGCCUUUUUUAUAAUAAACUAAUAAAUAAUUAACUAAGGCUAAUGUGAUCAGUAACAUUUUGUAAUGAAAAUUAAAUAAUCACUUGAAAAAUAAUUCCAUAUGCAUGCGAGACCACUCUGUAAUAAUGCCAAAAUCAGAGUAAUACGCCGAACGUGAUCCGCCGUGUAUGCUGGGUCCAAAGUCCACACACCAGUAAUACACUGAGAAACACGUGCGUGAAGCGGCUUUUGAUACCUGCCGCCGGCACAAGUGACGGAACUUAUAUUUUAUUCUGUAAACUUUGGUAUUUCUAUCUAAUAAAUCACUUUUUUGUAAUACAAAAUUUAUACCAAAUUUCAGAUGUGGUUCAGAAAAUGAUGGGUCAUUAAUAUAAAAUGGAGAGUAUAUCUAUAAAAUAUGCAUUUUUUUUACUAUGUAGUAUAUAUUAUACCAAAUUUGAGGUUUAGAAUAAUUAGUUAUCACAGAUAUCCAUUUUUAUAGAUGCCUAUCCCAGGUAUAUAUUUAUUUACCCAAAAAAUAUACCUAAUAUAACCAUUGUUGCACAUAGCUAUAUUUAUAUGUUGGAAACUUGUUCGGUUGAAAAGCUGAGUACAAUUUGCAUACUAUUGGCUACGUUCUAGACUUAUUUAGAAUCAAAGAAUACUUCAAGAUAUAUGUACAUAUAAUACACAUAUAAUAUUUUGAUUGCUGAUAAAAA